rnacentral:rRNA from 1 species
CACGUAGUUAGCCGGGGCUUUCUUCUCAGGUACCGUCACCUUGAGAGCAGUUACUCUCUCAAGCGUUCUUCCCUGGCAACAGAGCUUUACGAUCCGAAAACCUUCAUCACUCACGCGGCAUUGCUCCGUCAGGCUUUCGCCCAUUGCGGAAGAUUCCCUACUGCUGCCUCCCGUAGGAGUCUGGGCCGUGUCUCAGUCCCAGUGUGGCCGAUCACCCUCUCAGGUCGGCUACGCAUCGUCGCCUUGGUGAGCCGUUACCCCACCAACUAGCUAAUGCGCCGCAGGCCCAUCCCCAAGUGACAGAUUGCUCCGUCUUUCCAGUUUCCUUCAUGCGAAGAAACAACUAUUCGGUAUUAGCUACCGUUUCCGGUAGUUGUCCCAAACUUGAGGGCAGGUUGCCUACGUGUUACUCACCCGUCCGCCGCUAAGUAUCAAAGAAGCAAGCUUCUUAUCAACUCCGCUCGACUUGCAUGUAUUAGGCAUGCCGCCAGCGUCG